rnacentral:rRNA from 1 species
AUUGAACGCUGGCGGCAUGCUUUACACAUGCAAGUCGAACGGUAACAGGCCGCAAGGUGCUGACGAGUGGCGAACGGGUGAGUAAUGCAUCGGAACGUGCCCAGUCGUGGGGGAUAACGCAGCGAAAGCUGUGCUAAUACCGCAUACGAUCAAUGGAUGAAAGCGGGGGACCGUAAGGCCCCGCGCGAUUGGAGCGGCCGAUGUCAGAUUCGGUAGUUGGUGGGGUAAAGGCUCACCAAGCCAACGAUCUGUAGCUGGUCUGAGAGGAAGACCAGCCACACUGGGACUGAGACACAGCCCAGACUCCUACGGGAGGCAGCAGUGGGGAAUUUUGGACAAUGGGCGCAAGCCUGAUCCAGCAAUGCCGCGUGCAGGAAGAAGGCCUUCGGGUUGUAAACUGCUUUUGUACGGAACGAAACGGCGAGCUCUAAUCCAGUUUGCUAAUGACGGUACCGUAAGAAUAAGCACCGGCUAACUACGUGCCAGCCGCCGCAGUAA